AAGGAAUAUUGGUCAAUGGACGCAAGUCUGAACCAGCCAUGCCGCGUGAAGGAUGAAGGUCCCCUGGAUUGUAAACUUCUUUUAUCUGGGACGAAAACGGGAUUUUUAUCUCAAUUGACGGUACCAGAGGAAUAAGCACCGGCUAACUCCGUGCCAGCAGCCGCGGUAAUACGGAGGGUGCGAGCGUUAUCCGGAUUUACUGGGUUUAAAGGGUGCGUAGGUGGGCUUAUAAGUCAGUGGUGAAAUCUCCGAGCUUAACUUGGAAACUGCCGUUGAUACUAUAGGUCUUGAAUUAUCUGGAGGUAAGCGGAAUAUGUCAUGUAGCGGUGAAAUGCGUAGAUAUGACAUAGAACACCAAUUGCGAAGGCAGCUU
rnacentral:rRNA from 1 species